AUGCCUUCUGUGGCGUGCUCACCGGAGCACAGGGCUUCUGCACGACCAGAGGACAUCCUCGAGAGCAGCACGCUCCUCUCUGCGCGACCAGAGGAUGGCCCCGACGUGCACAGCGGAGCGUGCACUAGCGGCGCUGCGCAGUCAGGCUGUGCACGGAGGCUAGCGACGCUCCGGCACGCUGGACCUGUUGUGCACGGUGGUUGGCGAUGUUGUAGCGGAAUCCAAGGAGCCCUUGGCUAUGCCUGUGCUGGCGCGCGCCAUGGAGGGCAUGUCCGACCGUCCUCGCGGGCAGCCUCAUGCCCGACCAGCCGCUGGCCGCGGAAGCUCAUUGCCAUGCCCCGAGAAAGAGCUCCCCGUCGGCUGCCCAAAAGAAUGUAUAGAAUCAGAUUUGUCUCGGACUUGCUCAAUGAGAAUGGCUCCUGGAAUCUUGCGUUGUUACAACAAUAUUUCCUUUCGGCGGAUGUUGUAGAGAUUUUGAAAAUUCGUGCGUCGCCAUGGCUAGGAGAUGACACGUUGGCUUGGGGUCCAGGAAAGUACGGCGUGUUUUCUGUUAGGAGCGCUUAUCAGUUCGGUUUUGAAGAGGCAUAUAGAAGCCCGUCUACUGGCUCAAGUUCACGCCCAGAUGGUCGGCGAUCUUGCUGGCAAUUCAUUUGGCCCACUGAUGUACCCCCAAGUGUUCGGAACUUUGCUUGGCGUGUGGCUAUAGACUCUCUUCCGACUUGGAGAAACAAACAUAUUCGGGGCCUUGAAAUAAAUGAUCUAUGCCCAGUAUGUGGAACUGAAUCUGAGGACAGUUUUCAUGCACUCUACCACUGUACAUUGUCAAGGGUUCUUUGGGACUUAAUGGCAAAAGCUUGGACAUUGCCUUGUAUAAGUAUCAUGCAAAAUAAUGGGAAAGAAUGGUUGCUACAUGCUUUACAACCUCCUCCUGAUAUUGAGCGUUCAAUGUUGCUUAUGAUGCUUUGGCGGGCGUGGCACAUCCGUAACGAGGUGGUUCAUCAUAAACCGCCGCCGCCCAUGGAGGCCUCUAAGCAUUUCUUGAAAAUGGUCCUAAGUGGAGUGCUCCCAAAUCUGGAUGGGUCAAGUUAUCCACGGAUGGGUCUUAUGGUGAUGGCGGCUCAGCAGGUUCUGGUAUGGUACUUCGAGAUGACAAAGAGAAGUGACCUUCCAGUGGAGAUAGAAAUGGAUUCAAUCGUCGCUUUCAAGUUGAUCCGGGCCAAGGAGAUUGAUAGAUCGGUCUACUCGUCGCUUAUUAUGGAGAUUAGACACCUUAUGUCUCUUCGUGAUUCUUUGCGACUAGCUGAUGCGCGCUGCGGCUUCGUAGUACCGUGGGACGGAGACAGAGUGGUGCACAAGAAAACUGGCGGUCCAACUCGCCAACUCGGUCUGGUGUGCAUGGGUAGCUGGAGGUCCAACUCGCCAACUCGGUCAGGUAGGGUAGGAGUAGAUCUGGCCGGCAGGUUGUUUGCAUCUUUUGUUUGGCCUCUUUGUUCUUUCGCGCUUUGUUUCUGUACAAGGAUGUCGAUCGACCCGGCCGGUUGUCGUCGUGCCCUCUGCUGCUGCGUGAUGGGGGAGCAAAGUGGUUCCAAGCCUAACUUGGCAGAUCUUGCGGCAUUUGGUGUUCUGAGACCUAUCAGAUACCUGCAAUCUGGAAAAGACAUGGUUGAGCAUACCCAAAUCGGCGAGUGGUACCAAGGGAUAGAAGAUGCAAUCAGAGAACCAUCAAGAAUCCCAGAGGGCCAGUGCCAGGAGUAG
rnacentral:rRNA from 1 species